ACGCACGCUGGCGGCGUGCCUAAUACAUGCAAGUAGCACGCUGAAGGAGGAGCUUGCUCUUCUGGAUGAGUUGCGAACGGGUGAGUAACGCGUAGGUAACCUGCCUGGUAGCGGGGGAUAACUAUUGGAAACGAUAGCUAAUACCGCAUAAGAGUAGAUGUUGCAUGACAUUUGCUUAAAAGGUGCAAUUGCAUCACUACCAGAUGGACCUGCGUUGUAUUAGCUAGUUGGUGGGGUAACGGCUCACCAAGGCGACGAUACAUAGCCGACCUGAGAGGGUGAUCGGCCACACUGGGACUGAGACACGGCCCAGACUCCUACGGGAGGCAGCAGUAGGGAAUCUUCGGCAAUGGACGGAAGUCUGACCGAGCAACGCCGCGUGAGUGAAGAAGGUUGUCGGAUCGUAAAGCUCUGUUGUAAGAGAAGAACGAGUGUGAGAGUGGAAAGUUCACACUGUGACGGUAGCUUACCAGAAAGGGACGGCUAACUACGUG
rnacentral:rRNA from 1 species